UGAGUAAUACUUAUCUACUUGCCAAUUAGUGGGGGAUUAAAUACCGCAUAUUCUAGUUUCGGCUAGGAAAGAGUUCCAUUUGGGCUCGCUAGUUGAGAGGGAUAAGGCGUAUCAGCCGAUGAAAGUGGGGUAAUGGCCUACUGAGGCAAUGACGCGUAGCCGGCCUGAGAGGGUGAUCGGCCACAAGGGAACUGAGACACGGUCCCUACUCCUACGGGAGGCAGAAGGAGGAAACAUCUCGCAAUGGACGCAAGUCUAACGGAGUGAUACUACGUGAAGGAUGAAGGUAACGAAAGUUAUUGUAAACUUCUUUACUAGAGGGUACUGCUUUUAGAGCUUGCCCUUUGGCAAAAAGCCACGACUAACUAUGCUGCCAGCAGUCGCGGUAAUACAUAGGUGGCGAACGUUAUCCGGAAUUACUGGGCGUAAAGGGUGCGUAGGUGGUUGAAUAAGUUACUGGUGGUAAAUCAGGGCUCAACCCUGUGGAAGUCAGUAAUACUAUCCAACUCGAGGGCUGGAGAGGUUAACGGAAUUCUAUGUGUAGCGGUAAAAUGCUCAAAUAUAUAGAGGAACACCAAUUGGCGAAAGCAGUUAACUAUUCAGUUCCUGACAUUGAGACACGAAAGCGUGGGGAGCAAUACGGAUUAGACACCCGAGUAGUCCACGCCCUAAACGAUGAGUACUAGAUAUUGGAAACUCGAUUUUCAGUGUCGCAAGGUAACCCGGUAAGUACUCCGCCUGGGUAGUACGGUCACAAGACUAAAACUCAAAGGAAUUGACAGCGAUUCACACAAGCAGUGGAGCAUGUGGUUCAAUCCGAUACGACACGCAGAACCUUACCAAGAUUAUUAGUAGUGCGAAGCCGGAAGAGACUCUGGCAGAGGUUAUCAUUACUAUGAAGGUGUUGCAUGGCCAUCGUCAGUUCGUGUUGUGAAACGUAUGGUUAAGUCCUAUUAACGAACGAAACCCUCGUGCCUAGUUGCUAACAGGUAAUGCUGAGGACUCUAGGCAGACUGCCAAGGUAACUGGGAGGAAGGAGAGGAUCAAGUU
rnacentral:rRNA from 1 species